UACGUAGGGUGCGAGCGUUGUCCGGAAUUACUGGGCGUAAAGAGCUCGUAGGUGGUUUGUCGCGUUGUUCGUGAAAACUCACAGCUCAACUGUGGGCGUGCGGGCGAUACGGGCAGACUUGAGUACUGCAGGGGAGACUGGAAUUCCUGGUGUAGCGGUGGAAUGCGCAGAUAUCAGGAGGAACACCGGUGGCGAAGGCGGGUCUCUGGGCAGUAACUGACGCUGAGGAGCGAAAGCGUGGAGAGCGAACAGG
rnacentral:rRNA from 1 species